AGCACCUCAGCGGCCCAGUUCAGGUCCAGGACCCCAUCCUCUGACUCGCUCAGGAGGGUCCCAAUGCGGCAAGUGUCCCCCUAAGGAUACCUCCCUGACACCUUUGGACAGUGCCCAGAGGAAAGUCAGCCUAUGGCUUGGGCUGAACCUGCAGAACACAGGUGGCAGAGGACAAGCCCAGGAGGAUCAGCAUCAAGGCAGCCCCUUUGGCUGGAUCUUCAAGGCCUGGUCAGGACGCAAGCCCACCCUGCCAACCCCUAUGGAGAAGAGUACAGCUCCUUCCUCAGGCAGCUGCAGAAGUGCAGAGGGUCAGAGAUCACCAGGCACAACCCCCUUACGGGCACCACGGUGAGGAAACUGGGACUUGGGGAAGAGGAAUUGACUUGCCCAAGGUCACGCAGAGUGGAGCCUGGUCUCUCCUAAGCCCUAAGUCAGAUGGUGGGGGUAGGAGCAAAUGUAAGGGGUCGAACCUUGCUUUCAGAUCCCAGCUCUGCCACUUCGUAGCUGAACAGCCUGGGAUUCACUGUCUUGCCUCUCUGAGCCUACACCUCCUCACCUGACCUGCCUUGUAGAGUUGUGUGUUAAAAUGUUUAUUUUCUUUCAUGCCUCACAAGAGGAAAUCUGGAAAAUGUAGACAAAUUGAAAGAAAAGGAGGACCGGGCGUGGUGGCUCACGCUUGUAAUCCCAGCACUUUGGGAGGCCAAGGCGGGUGGAUCACCUGAGGUCAGGAGUUCGAAGCUAGCCUGGCCAACAUGGUGAAACCCCAUCUCUACUAAAAAUACAAAAAGUAAUCCCAGCUACUUGGGAGGCUGAGACAGGAGAAUCAUUUGAACCUGGGAGGUGGAGUUUGCAGUGAGCAGAGAUGGCGCUAUUGCAAGCCAGCCUGGGCAGAGCUUCCUGCAGGCGUGAAAGAGAAUGAUGCCAUGCGCCUGGCCAGAGGAGGCAUGCGAUAAAGGGGCAUUCCCUGAGCCUUCCUCAGAGGACUUGGAAAGAGCUCUGGACAGGGAGCCAGGAGAUCUGGGUUGUGGCCUUCAUUCUGCCAUUGAACUUGGUUGCCAUCCUUGGACAGUGCCUGAGGUCCCUUUAAACAGAAGCUCCACAACAAAUCCUGCUCACCCUGCACUUUGCAGCCCGGCCACAAAGCAAGCGGCCACACCCAGGGUUGGGUUUGGAGCUGUUCCAGGUCACGCCCUUGUAAAAUGAGUAAGCAGA
rnacentral:lncRNA from 10 species